GCUUGAGUGGCUCAGUCAGUAGAGCAUGUGACUCUUGACCUCAGGGUUGUGAGUUCGAGCCCCAUGUUGAGUG
rnacentral:tRNA from 1 species